AACAGGGAUUACCUCAGUAACGGCGAGUGAAGCGGUAACAGCUCAAAUUUGAAAUCUGGCCGCAAGGUCCGAGUUGUAAUUUGUAGAGGAUGUUUCGAGCAUGGUCUGGCCUAAGUUCCUUGGAACAGGACGUCAUAGAGGGUGAGAAUCCCGUAUGCGGUCAGGUGCCUACGCUCAUGUGAAACUCCUUCGACGAGUCGAGUUGUUUGGGAAUGCAGCUCAAAAUGGGUGGUAAAUUUCAUCUAAAGCUAAAUAUUGGCCAGAGACCGAUAGCGCACAAGUAGAGUGAUCGAAAGAUGAAAAGCACUUUGGAAAGAGAGUUAAACAGUACGUGAAAUUGUUGAAAGGGAAGCGCUUGCAACCAGACUUGCGCGCGGCUGAUCAUCCGGGCUUCUGCCCGGUGCACUCGGUCGCGCUCAGGCCAGCAUCGGUUUUGGUGGCGGGAUAAAGGCCUUGGGAAUGUAGCUCCUCUCGGGGAGUGUUAUAGCCCAGGGUGCAAUGCCGCCUACCGGGACCGAGGACCGCGCUUCGGCUAGGAUGCUGGCGUAAUGGUUGUAAGCGACCCGUCUUGAAACACGGACC
rnacentral:rRNA from 1 species